rnacentral:rRNA from 1 species
GGGUUGUGAGGUUAAGCGACUAAGCGUACACGGUGGAUGCCCUGGCAGUCAGAGGCGAUGAAGGGCGUGCUAAUCUGCGAUAAGCGCCGGUAAGGUGAUAUGAACCGUUAUAACCGGCGAUUUCCGAAUGGGGAAACCCAGUGUGAUUCGUCACACUAUCAUUAACUGAAUCCAUAGGUUAAUGAGGCGAAC